rnacentral:hammerhead_ribozyme from 1 species
AUCCACAUGACGAGUCCCAAAUAGGACGAAAUUCGCGUUAUCCUGGAU